UACUAGUUAUGGCGCCACAUUGGCAAGCCUUGCUGUUAUGUUAUUUUGUUGUCUGCGAUAUUGUUGAUGGGUUCAACACGAAGGUGCUGCCACCUAUAAAACACGGGCAUGAAGUCGGUAUCAUCAUCAUCCCUGGUGCUUUAAUUGAUGCGGAAGCCUACACACCCCUGGGUAUGCAUCGUUUGAUCCUAACCCUAACAGUGGAACUGUACGCUUCGGUUCAAAUAUUAUUUAAUAACCAUAUGAAACCGUACAUAGUUGUACGCAUGUCGCGCCACAUUGCUAAUGUAGGCAUAGUAAUCUUUCAAGAAUGUAUUUUUAGCCGCCAAAAAUUAAGAAGCCACAAGUAGUUGUGUACAUGUAAAAGUCUCUUUAACCUUGGGUCGUUCCACAUUAAAGUCACGGCAUUCCAUGUUCCAGCAAAGCGACUGCAGGCGGAGUCACCACAUAGACUGUGGGUCGGUCUCUCAGGCGGUUAUCCAGCAGGGAUUCCUGGUAAUGUAGGUCCAGGUAUUGCCCAGGCACUGACGGACCUCAGAGCAGCUGGCAUGACAACGAACACUGUCUUCAUGGCUGGACAUCAGAUGGGAGGAACCUAUCUUAGUAUGUACCUACAGGAGAACAAGACUAAUGCCACCGCCAUGAUCUUGUUGGCUGCCUUUCGCUGGAUAGAGAUAGCUGGAGAUAAGUUACCAGCGAUUCCAACUCUCACUGUAUCCGGGGACCUGGACGGCCUCGUUCGCAUUAACGGCAUGGCCUACUACUGGCAACAGCUUAUUGAUGUCGCUAAACAAAACGCCACAGUGUUACAGACGCACCCAAUAGUUACUCUUCUCGGAGUGAACAAUGGUCAAUUCGCUUCUGGUAGACUGCCAAAUACCGUCACAGAUUAUGACAUCCAACCGGAAGUGGAUUCUGCCAUAGCCCAUGACAUGAUUGCCAAGGCAACGGUUUCAUUUAUGGUGUCUGUUACUGGGCAACCACGGUUCAGAGUGAAGGAAGCUAGAAAAGUGAUACAGAAGGAAAUACGGGAUAAUUAUGACCGUUUUCAGCCAUUCGUGUCUUUGUCAUCUCUUGAAGAAAACAAUGGACAUUCACCAUGGACUGAGCAUGCGCAAGAAUUGAUAGCAAAUCUUUCGGAAAAAACAAAAGCUCUAUUAAAGGUAAAACAUGCUGUCCCAAACACACAC